GGGCCUGUAGUUCAAUUGGUUAGAGCCCUCCGCUCAUAACGGAGUAGUUGUAGGUUCGAGUCCUACCGGGCCCACCA
rnacentral:tRNA from 1 species